rnacentral:rRNA from 1 species
GAAGCUGGAAUUGCUAGUAAUGGCAGGUCAGCAUACUGCCGUGAAUACGUUCCCGGGCCUUGUACACACCGCCCGUCACACCAUGGAAGUCGGUAAUGCCCGAAGUCAGUAGCCUAACCGCAAGGAGGGCGCUGCCGAAGGCAGGAUUGAUGACUGGGGUGAAGUCGUAACAAGGUAAC